rfam:Helianthus annuus linkage group 4, whole genome shotgun sequence.
GGGUGUUACAAGUUGGCUGUGGAACACAUGAAAACUCCACAAUUAAGCGUGCUCAGGUGGGAGUAGUACUAGGACGGGUGACCUCCGGGGAAGUCUCCACCGGGGCAACCA